AUUGAACGCUGGCGGCAGGCUUAACACAUGCAAGUCGAACGAUGACUCUCUAGCUUGCUAGAGAAGAUUAGUGGCGGACGGGUGAGUAACAUUUAGGAAUCUGCCUAGUAGUGGGGGAUAGCUCGGGGAAACUCGAAUUAAUACCGCAUACGACCUACGGGUGAAAGGGGGCGCAAGCUCUUGCUAUUAGAUGAGCCUAAAUCAGAUUAGCUAGUUGGUGGGGUAAAGGCCUACCAAGGCGACGAUCUGUAACUGGUCUGAGAGGAUGAUCAGUCACACCGGAACUGAGACACGGUCCGGACUCCUACGGGAGGCAGCAGUGGGGAAUAUUGGACAAUGGGGGCAACCCUGAUCCAGCCAUGCCGCGUGUGUGAAGAAGGCCUUUUGGUUGUAAAGCACUUUAAGCAGGGAGGAGAGGCUAAUGGUUAAUACCCAUUAGAUUAGACGUUACCUGCAGAAUAAGCACCGGCUAACUCUGUGCCAGCAGCCGCGGUAAUACAGAGGGUGCGAGCGUUAAUCGGAAUUACUGGGCGUAAAGCGAGUGUAGGUGGCUCAUUAAGUCACAUGUGAAAUCCCCCGGGCUUAACCCUGGGAACUGCAUGUGAUACUGGUGGUGCUAGAAUAUGUGAGAGGGAAGUAGAAUUCCAGGUGUAGCGGUGAAAUGCGUAGAGAUCUGGAGGAAUACCGAUGGCGAAGGCAGCUUCCUGGCAUAAUAUUGACACUGAGAUUCGAAAGCGUGGGUAGCAAACAGGAUUAGAUACCCUGGUAGUCCACGCCGUAAACGAUGUCUACUAGCCGUUGGGGUCCUUGAGACUUUAGUGGCGCAGUUAACGCGAUAAGUAGACCGCCUGGGGAGUACGGCCGCAAGGUUAAAACUCAAAUGAAUUGACGGGGGCCCGCACAAGCGGUGGAGCAUGUGGUUUAAUUCGAUGCAACGCGAAGAACCUUACCUGGUCUUGACAUAGUGAGAAUCUUUCAGAGAUGAGAGAGUGCCUUUGGGAACUCACAUACAGGUGCUGCAUGGCUGUCGUCAGCUCGUGUCGUGAGAUGUUGGGUUAAGUCCCGCAACGAGCGCAACCCUUUUCCUCAUUUGCCAGCGGGUUAAGCCGGGAACUUUAAGGAUACUGCCAGUGACAAACUGGAGGAAGGCGGGGACGACGUCAAGUCAUCAUGGCCCUUACGACCAGGGCUACACACGUGCUACAAUGGUAGGUACAGAGGGUUGCUACACAGCGAUGUGAUGCGAAUCUCAAAAAGCCUAUCGUAGUCCGGAUUGGAGUCUGCAACUCGACUCCAUGAAGUCGGAAUCGCUAGUAAUCGCGGAUCAGAAUGCCGCGGUGAAUACGUUCCCGGGCCU
rnacentral:rRNA from 1 species